rnacentral:rRNA from 1 species
UACGUAGGUGGCAAGCGUUGUCCGGAUUUACUGGGCGUAAAGAGCGCGCAGGCGGUCGUUCAAGUCGCGUGUGAAAGCCCCCGGCUCAACUGGGGAGGGUCACGCGAUACUGAUCGACUGGAAGGCAGGAGAGGGUAGUGGAAUUCCCGGUGUAGUGGUGAAAUGCGUAGAUAUCGGAAGGAACAUCAGUGGCGAAAGCGGCUUCCUGGACCAGUACCGACGUUCAGGCACGAAAGCGUGGGGAGCAAACAGGA